CCUACGGGAGGCAGCAGUGAGGAAUAUUGGUCAAUGGGCGCGAGCCUGAACCAGCCAAGUAGCGUGCAGGAUGACGGCCCUAUGGGUUGUAAACUGCUUUUAUGCGGGGAUAAAGUUCACUACGUGUAGUGUUUUGUAGGUACCGCAUGAAUAAGGACCGGCUAAUUCCGUGCCAGCAGCCGCGGUAAU
rnacentral:rRNA from 1 species